UUCUGGGCUCCGCACGGGUCUACUUGGGUCGGGGUCUCCGGUGCGCCGCCUGCCACGUGCUGAGAGGCAGGGCUGGCGUUUAGGAGCCCCAGAAGCUGCCUGGCCCGACGUGAGGAGUGCAGCCUGCGGCGCCAUGAAGAAACUUCUCCGCUUCUGGGGGAGGAAGGAUGAGUCCCCCAGCCGUUCCUCCUCAGACUUGCCCAUGGGCCUGGGCUACGACCUUCGAGACCAGGAUUUAAAGAAACCUCACAAAGCUGCUUCAGUCGGGGAUUUGGAGAAGCUGAACAAGUACUUCCAGCUCAAGAAAUUUGAUGUGAACAUGCGGGACAAAGAAUACAGAACACCUUUGCACUUGGCCUGUGCUAAUGGAUAUACAAAUAUUGUAUAUUUCCUAAUUGAGAAACAAUGUGAAGUAAAUGUCCUGGAUAGGGAAAGCAGAUCUCCAUUGAUUAAGGCAGUACAGUGUCAAAAGGAGAAUUGUGCUACUGUUCUUCUAAGCUAUGGUGCAGACCCAAAUCUGGCAGAUUUUAAUCAUAAUACUGCUCUUCAUUAUGCUGUCUGUGGUCAAAAUGUCUCAUUAGUUGAAAUGUUGCUUAAACACAGAGCUAAUCUUGAAGCUAAAAAUAAGGAUGGGUAUACUCCACUUUUACUUGCUGUUAGUGAAAAUAAUGCAGAAAUGGCAAAAUUUCUUCUGAGGAAAGGGGCAGAUGUGAAUGCUUCAGAUAACAAUCAAAGAUACCCACAAUUAAUUUGUAAUUAUGGAAUGAAGAAAAACAUUAAAUAGACAUAUUAUACUGAAUAGACAACUUUGGGUACUUACAUGUGAUACAGAAGAACUGAAGGAAGAUGUGCAACCCAUUUCCACAAAUCCUUUGCUGAUUCCUUGGAUUAAAAAAGUCUACUUUGAAGGAGCUAUGAAGUGAACUAUCAUAACAUUUUUGCUGACUACCCAUUUGAAGAAAAGUUUGUUAAAUGGAGAAUAAUUUUUUUUUUACCUUAAAAGCCAUGAUGAAAUUUCAAAAGAUAAACAUCUGUAUCAUGAACCAUCAGCUGAAAAGAUACAAUUCGUUUUCAGUACAUAGACAGAGAAAAAUUUGUAGUUAAAAUAUUGAAUGAUAUACUGGUAAGAGUAAACUGUGUUAGGCAUGUAUUGGAACAUUUAAAUGAAAUAAAAAUACUAACAUCUCAGCUACAAAAUGGAAGAAAAAAUUAUAAAUUAUACUGUGUACAUCAAAAUUCUCUUUUAUUUGCAAGUACUUUCAUUGAC